AUACGGAGGAUCCGAGCGUUAUCCGGAUUUAUUGGGUUUAAAGGGAGCGUAGGCGGACGCUUAAGUCAGUUGUGAAAGUUUGCGGCUCAACCGUAAAAUUGCAGUUGAUACUGGGUGUCUUGAGUACAGUAGAGGCAGGCGGAAUUCGUGGGGGAGGGCGGAAAUGCUUCGAUAUCACGAAGAACUCCGAUUGCGAAGGCAGCUUACUGGACUGUAACUGACGCUGAUGCUCGAAAGUGUGGGUAUCAAACAGGAUUAGAUACCCUGGUAGGCCACACAGUAAACGAUGAAUACUCGCUGUUUGCGAUAUACGGCAAGCGGCCAAGCGAAAGCAUUAAGUAUUCCACCUGGGGAGUACGCCGGCAACGGUGAAACUCAAAGGAAUUGACGGGG
rnacentral:rRNA from 1 species